rnacentral:rRNA from 1 species
CACGUAGGGCGCAAGCGUUGUCCGGAAUCAUUGGGCGUAAAGCGCGCGUAGGUGGCCCUGUAAGUCCGUUGUGAAAGUCAAAGGCUCAACCUUUGAAAGCCGAUGGAUACUGCAGGACUAGAGUACGGAAGAGGCGAGUGGAAUUCCUGGUGUAGCGGUGGAAUGCGCAGAUAUCAGGAGGAACACCAAUAGCGAAGGCAGCUCGCUGGGACGUUACUGACACUGAGGCGCGAAAGCGUGGGGAGCGAACAGG